rnacentral:piRNA from 1 species
UUAUGAUCUGACAACUCGUUU